GCCCUUAUUGCACAGUGGUAGUGCGUCGCACUUGUAAUGCGGAGGUCCGUGGUUCAAUCCCGCGUGGGGGCU